AUGCGAUGGAUCCAAAGGAUCCGAUGGAUUAAUCUAUCUAUUAAUCCAUCGGAUCCUUUGGAUCCAUCGCA
rnacentral:miRNA from 1 species